AGUUCGCCAUCCCUCCUGCACGUGGGCUCCGGGAACACUUUGCCUGUCUUCUGAGCAGCAUCUGAUGAUGAAAUGACAAGCCGGUUCCAGGGCAUCCUCAGAACAAGCAGCUUCCCAGCACCAAGGACAAACUGUUCUGUCAACUGGCAGGCUGCUGGCACUGACAACUCCCUGCACCUGUUGUCAUAAGUGCUAAUGUCAAGAAAUUUCACCUUUUCACUUAAAGGAAGCACUUUGCGGCUUUUCUUUGUCGUAUCUGGAUUGCCAGCAUCACUACUCUUGUGGUUUGGGGCCAUUGUUAAGACUCAUCAACGAGCCUGGAAGAAGGAAAGUAAGCUCCGUUGGCUGGCCAUCCUGCCCCUUCAGCACCCCCCUCCCGCUGGACCGCCCAGGGUGCAGCCGGACAGCCCACAGCUACUCUGCGGCCAUCUGCAGACUGCCGGCCCCAAGGCCAUGCAGACAGCGGGAGUCCUUGGGGACACAUGCUUCAG